rnacentral:lncRNA from 1 species
AAAUGUAGGCAAUGUAGAUCGAUAAUAUAAAGUAGAGAAUCGGUGUUUUUUUUUAUGUUGUAAUGUUACACUACUGUCUCAAGUUAGGGUGAAGGUUGGUACCUGUGUAUAGGGUUAAACACACAGCAUUUUUAUGCACUUGUCCAUGUUGGGAGCCUGUUGUUCAGUGGUGGUCUUUUAUUGGUGUGAUUCAUAGGUUUUUCUUGUUUUUUCUUUUUUACAAUAUAGAUCAGACUGCUUGUUUUCCUGUUUGAAUUGUUUUACACUAGUCAUUUAGGGGCCCUUUUAAGCUUUUAGUUCAAUGUGAGUAAAGGCUAUGUGUUGAAGGCUGUACUUGACCUUAAAUUGUUAACUUUUUAUACAUUGUGAGAUGGAUGGAGAGUUGUCUCAUUGGCCAACAUAAUUUUGGCUUACCAAUUAUUUACAGGAAAAAAAUAAUGUACAUUUAAGUUGUCUAAAGUAUCUCUAACUUGAUCUUCCAUUAUAUCAAUAAAUCAAUCAAGUUAGAAACUAGGUAAUUUGUUUAUCAGGAGGUUCUAAGAAGGCUUUACACAAAAAAGAAUCUAAACUCUACGGGCUCACAAACAUGUAUUAACCCUGACACCUUCUAUAUGUGGUUGUCCCAAAUGAUGAGCCUGUAGUAAAGUAUUGUUAUUUCAUGUGUCAUGUUUCAUUUCCCCAAAUUAAUGUUGUAAACUAGGUUAUUUGUUUUCUUGUUUG